GAUGAACGCUGGCGGCGUGCCUAAUACAUGCAAGUCGAGCGAACAGACGAGGAGCUUGCUCCUCUGACGUUAGCGGCGGACGGGUGAGUAACACGUGGAUAACCUACCUAUAAGACUGGGAUAACUUCGGGAAACCGUAGCUAAUACCGGAUAAUAUAUUGAACCGCAUGGUUCAAUAGUGAAAGACGGUUUUGCUGUCACUUAUAGAUGGAUCCGCGCCGCAUUAGCUAGUUGGUAAGGUAACGGCUUACCAAGGCAACGAUGCGUAGCCGACCUGAGAGGGUGAUCGGCCACACUGGAGCUGAGACACGGUCCAGACUCCUACGGGAGGCAGCAGUAGGGAAUCUUCCGCAAUGGGCGAAAGCCUGACGGAGCAACGCCGCGUGAGUGAUGAAGGUCUUCGGAUCGUAAAACUCUGUUAUUAGGGAAGAACAAAUGUGUAAGUAACUAUGCACGUCUUGACGGUACCUAAUCAGAAAGCCACGGCUAACUACGUG
rnacentral:rRNA from 1 species